AUCGCCCAUUUCCAGCAGGGUUGCGAUGGCCGCUGGUCGGUGUUGACGCAAUGUGAUUUCUGCCCAGUGCUCUGAAUGUCAACGUGAAGAGAUUCAUCAAAGCGCGGGUAAACGGCGGGAGUAACUAUGACUCUCUUUGGAAGGGGAAAAUCCAACCGCAGACCUCCACGUGGUCCCUUCUGGGCAUCGGAGUCUAUCUCCGAUGGCAGACGUGCGGCAAUGGUGCACACGGCCGUGUCAUGCAGCCGUGUGUGUGCAACCAUGUAAUGUGUUUGCACCUUGCAUAACAUCGCAAACUGAGCAGCCCUCAGAUUUACUUGUCGUUCGGGUUGCCAGCCCGUUCGACAAAAUUUCACUUGGCCUGGACAGACAAAAGAAAUUAACUAUACGUGCCUGCCAGUUGGCAGGUGCACCAAGUGUAGCUGAGCCAGGUGUGCCCGGUGAGGGUGGUGAUGGGUCUGGUGGACCAAUUCCGGUUCUGCAGUUUAAGUGCACGGUGUGUGAGAAGUCCUUCUCUACUCUGAAGGGCCUGAGGGUUCAUGCUUCAUUGAAGAAACACGGGAGGCAGGACGGUGUGCGUGUGGUGGACUCUGCCGUGCCUGUGGAGCAAGGAGGCGAUGGUGACAUUGGUGACAGUGUUGGUGUGGUUGUGGACACGGACACUU
rnacentral:ncRNA from 1 species